rnacentral:rRNA from 1 species
AGUGGGGGAUAACGUUCGGAAACGGACGCUAAUACCGCAUACGUCCUACGGUAGAAAGCAGGGGACCUUCGGGCCUUGCGCUAUCAGAUGAGCCUAGGUCGGAUUAGCUAGCUGGUGGGGYAAUGGCUCACCAAGGCGACGAUCCGUAACUGGUCUGAGAGGAUGAUCAGUCACACUGGAACUGAGACACGGUCCAGACUCCUACGGGAGGCAGCAGUGGGGAAUAUUGGACAAUGGGCGAAAGCCUGAUCCAGCCAUGCCGCGUGUGUGAAGAAGGUCUUCGGAUUGUAAAGCACUUUAAGUUGGGAGGAAGGGCAGUAAAUUAAUACUUUGCUGUUUUGACGU